UACAGAGGGCGCGAUCGUUGUCCGGAAUCACUGGGCGUAAAGGGCGUGUAGGCGGCUGGGUAAGCCGCGUGUGAAAUCCCGGGGCUCAACCCCGGAAUGGCACGCGGGACUGCCUGGCUAGAGCAUGGUAGAGGCGAGUGGAAUUCCUGGUGUAGCGGUGGAAUGCGUAGAGAUCAGGAAGAACACCGGUGGCGAAGGCGGCUCGCUGGGCCAUUGCUGACGCUGAGGCGCGAAAGCGUGGGGAGAAAACAGG
rnacentral:rRNA from 1 species